CUCACCCACACGCACACACACACUCCGCCUCUCCCCUCUCCGCUCACCCACAGACACGCACACGUACCCGCGCUGUCGCACGCUCGCGCCGGCGACAGGCGAGCCUGUGUGCCUCCUUCUCUGCCUCCUUUCCCUGUUCGCUCCGUCCUACUCUGCCUCGAUGUCCUCCAAGUCGCCAUGCCCGCCGUGCGUUGGGCGCAGGCGCUGCACGUACCGCUCUUCAUCGUCUUGUGGAGGUCUGCGCGCGCGCGUAUAGGUAUUUCCCUUCCCUUGCCAGCAUGCGCGUGUGCGUGUGUGGUGAGAGAAGGAGAGAAGGGCGGGGGAGGAGCGUGUGCGAGGGCGUUGCACGGGAGGCCAUGAAGCGAGUCGGGCAUCGUCGUCGCCAUCGGCCGGGCCUCUGGUCUGUGUGUAUGUGUAUGUGUAUGUGUAUGUGUGUGCGUGUAGGGGAGGGAGGGGCGAUGUGUGCACACACACUCGGUUGCUGGCGUAGGACAGAGAGACGACGGCAAGGAGGAGCGCACGCCCAGGCAGGGGGUGGGGUGGGGUGGGGGGAGCGCGUCGUCAGCAUACCCAAGGCACGCCUUCGGCUUCCUGUGUUUCGAUAACGCAGCUGCUCCUCUCGGCAAGGCAAGCGCAUGCGCGCGGACGCGGGUGUUCGCGGCGUCGCCAGUGUAGUCUCCCCUCACCGAGUUGCUCUGUUUCUCUGACGUCACCGCCGGCGAAUCCGGUGUGCGAGUGGUGGAAAGACCGAGGGAGGGGGAGGAAGGAGGGGACUGCGCGCACGCCUUCUCUGAUCGCGAUAUCGCGGGCAGGCGAGAACCCGAAAGAUCGCACAUGUAUCGCGAUGCAAGCGAUGAGUCUACGGCUCGGCUGCCAUCUGCACGACCGCCGCAGCCGCAGCGCCAAGAGUUCAGGGCAAGUGUAGAUGCUCCUUCCCCUCACCAGAGCUCGCCUCAGGAGGCGCGCGCACGUGCCUACAGAGCGAAUCGCAUGUCGCGGGAUUCGCCGAGUCGCGUGUGGAGUCCUGACCUUCCCCUCCUUGCCUACCCUCCUCCCUCAACCCCGUCCCCGCUGGCGCCUCGCAGGCAUCUGCCAAGCAGAUCUGUAUCCCAUGCACACACCGACUCACCUCCGCACCACUUCUCUCGCUCUCGCCCCUCGCCCUCGCUUUUUCUGUCCGUCAG
rnacentral:misc_RNA from 1 species